CGGGGUACACGAGCGGCGAACGGGUGAGUAACACGUGAGUAAUCUGCCCUUCACUCAGGGAUAACCACGGGAAACUGUGGCUAAUACCUGAUAUGACCCUUCCACGCAUGUGGUGGGGUGGAAAGUGUUUAGCGGUGAGGGAUGUGCUCGCGGCCUAUCAGCUUGUUGGUGAGGUAGUGGCUCACCAAGGCUUCGACGGGUAGCCGGCCUGAGAGGGUGACCGGCCACACUGGGACUGAGACACGGCCCAGACUCCUACGGGAGGCAGCAGUGGGGAAUAUUGGACAAUGGGCGAAAGCCUGAUCCAGCAACGCCGCGUGAGGGAUGACGGCCUUCGGGUUGUAAACCUCUUUCGCUCAUGACGAAGCGCAAGUGACGGUAGUGAGAGAAGAAGGACCGGCCAACUACGUGCCAGCAGCCGCGGUAAUACGUAGGGUCCGAGCGUUGUCCGGAAUUAUUGGGCGUAAAGGGCUCGUAGGCGGUUUGUCGCGUCGGGAGUGAAAACCAUGAGCUUAACUCAUGGCUUGCUUCCGAUACGGGCAGACUAGAGGUAUGCAGGGGAGAAUGGAAUUCCUGGUGUAGCGGUGAAAUGCGCAGAUAUCAGGAGGAACACCGGUGGCGAAGGCGGUUCUCUGGGCAUUACCUGACGCUGAGGAGCGAAAGUGUGGGGAGCGAACAGGAUUAGAUACCCUGGUAGUCCACACCGUAAACGUUGGGCGCUAGGUGUGGGAUCCAUUCCACGGGUUCCGUGCCGCAGCUAA
rnacentral:rRNA from 1 species